CAGCAGCCGCGGUAAUACAGAGGGUGCAAGCGUUAAUCGGAAUUACUGGGCGUAAAGCGCGCGUAGGUGGUUUGUUAAGUUGGAUGUGAAAUCCCCGGGCUCAACCUGGGAACUGCAUUCAAAACUGACUGACUAGAGUAUGGUAGAGGGUGGUGGAAUUUCCUGUGUAGCGGUGAAAUGCGUAGAUAUAGGAAGGAACACCAGUGGCGAAGGCGACCACCUGGACUAAUACUGACACUGAGGUGCGAAAGCGUGGGGAGCAAACAGGAUUAGAUACCCCGGUAGUCCCUGUCUCUUAUAC
rnacentral:rRNA from 1 species